GAACGCCGUAUGCGAUGAAAAUAGCACGUACGGUGUGAACAGGGAGCGAUAACUUCAAACCCUUACAUAUCUGUAU
rfam:Bacillus sp. FJAT-27997 Scaffold1, whole genome shotgun sequence.